UUCCGGUUGAUCCUGCCGGACCUGACUGCUAUCGGAUUGAUACUAAGCCAUGCGAGUCAUUGUAGCAAUACAAGGCAGACGGCUCAGUAACGCGUAGUCAACCUAACCUAUGGACGGGAAUAACCUCGGGAAACUGAGAAUAAUGCCCGAUAGAACACUAUACCUGGAAUGGUUUGUGUUCCAAAUGAUUUAUCGCCGUAGGAUGGGACUGCGGCCUAUCAGUUUGUUGGUGAGGUAAUGGCCCACCAAGACUAUUACAGGUACGGGCUCUGAGAGGAGUAGCCCGGAGAUGGGUACUGAGACACGGACCCAGGCCCUAUGGGGCGCAGCAGGCGAGAAAACUUUGCAAUGUGCGAAAGCACGACAAGGUUAAUCCGAGUGGUUUGUGCUAAACGAACCUUUUGUCGGUCCUAGAAACACCGAUGAAUAAGGGGUGGGCAAGUUCUGGUGUCAGCCGCCGCGGUAAAACCAGCACCUCAAGUGGUCAGGAUGAUUAUUGGGCCUAAAGCAUCCGUAGCCGGCUCUGUAAGUUUUCGGUUAAAUCUGUACGCUCAACGUACAGGCUGCCGGGAAUACUGCAGAGCUAGGGAGUGGGAGAGGUAGACGGUACUCGGUAGGAAGGGGUAAAAUCCUUUGAUCUAUUGAUGACCACCUGUGGCGAAAGCGGUCUACCAGAACACGUCCGACGGUGAGGGAUGAAAGCUGGGGGAGCAAACCGGAUUAGAUACCCGGGUAGUCCCAGCUGUAAACUAUGCAAACUCAGUGAUGCAUUGGCUUGUGGCCAAUGCAGUGCUGCAGGGAAGCCGUUAAGUUUGCCGCCUGGGAAGUACGUACGCAAGUAUG
rnacentral:rRNA from 1 species